UUUAAGCCCACUGGUUCAGACAGAAGCCUCUGGGAGAGCCCUCCAGGGUCCACCUUGAAGGCUUCAUUCCUUCUACCCAGAGCAUCUCCGUGGAGAGGAAGAAAAAGCACCAACGAAAUGAGGUGCCUCAGCAGUUCUGGGGAGCAAUUCCUCUCUUCAUAUGACCAUUUGGGAAACCCCCAGUGAGAUGGAGUGUGCUUUUAAGCCAUGAAAACCACGCACAUCAGCCCCAUGGGGAUGGAGCGGGGGAUGGAACAUUUGAGAAUCACCAACAUGCAGCAAGGACAUUAGUGAGAAAUGAGUUCCACCUGCCAGAAGGGAAUCUCUCCCUGAGGCAAGAACGACCUAGGUCUGAAGACUGAAGACCAGUGCUGGGGCCCCUCUUGGAAGGCUGAGGAAGUGGAGAAGUGCCCAGGUCUGGUCUGCUUAGCCUCCUGCUAGUUGUUGGAGCUCUUUGAGCCUUGGUUUCCAA
rnacentral:lncRNA from 1 species